GUAAGAAUAAAAACAAACAGGAUUUUGAUCUCUAAUUGUAUGUUUCUUCUCCCCAUGAGAUAUUACAUGCAAAAGGUUCCUCAUAAUGAAGCCCAAGUUACCUGCAUCCAGGGGAAGAAGAAAAAAGGGUCAUUUGAGAGUUGUUUUGAGGACCCCAUGUUGCCACUCUUCAGAGGAGAGUCAAAGAGAACAACAACUUGCAAUUGGCCACCUUAAAUACCUUUUCUCAUGAUUGGAUGCACCUGUCUAUGAAGUUCAAGGCUUAAUUGGCUCACCAAACCUAUUGGCCACCUUAAAUACCUUAUUGCACAUUUUCUGUUAAUCCAAUAAACCUCAUUUCACUACAGAAA